rnacentral:rRNA from 1 species
UACGUAGGGUGCAAGCGUUUGUCCGGAAUUAUUGGGCGUAAAGAGCUCGUAGGCGGUCUGUCGCGUCUGCUGUGAAAACUCGGGGCUUAACCCCGGGCCUGCAGUGGGUACGGGCAGACUAGAGUGCGGUAGGGGAGACUGGAAUUCCUGGUGUAGCGGUGAAAUGCGCAGAUAUCAGGAGGAACACCAAUGGCGAAGGCAGCACUCUGGGACGUGACUGACGCUGAGACGCGAAAGCGUGGGGAGCAAACAGG